rnacentral:rRNA from 1 species
UAAGGAAUCUUCCACAAUGGGCGAAAGCCUGAUGGAGCAACGCCGCGUGCAGGAUGAAGGCCCUCGGGUCGUAAACUGCUUUUAUGAGUGAAGAAUAUGACGGUAACUCAUGAAUAAGCACCGGCUAACUACGUGCCAGCAGCCGCGGUCAUACGUAGGGUGCAAGCAUUAUCCGGAGUGACUGGGCGUAAAGAGUUGCGUAGGCGGUUAGUAAAGCGAAUAGUGAAACCUGGUGGCCCAACCAUACAGACUAUUAUUCGAACUCACUAACUCGAGAGUGGUAGAGGUAACUGGAAUUUCUUGUGUAGGAGUGAAAUCCGUAGAUAUAAGAAGGAACACCAAUGGCGUAGGCAGGUUACUGGACCAUUUCUGACGCUAAGGCACGAAAGCGUGGGGAGCGAACC